UGUCACUAUUUUUCUCCUCCUCCGCCGCUUGGAUGCCACUCGCCUUGUCGGACAUGGUUGUCCCAAUCGGCCAAUCCCUAACCCUAAAUGCCAUCACCUAGGAGAAGAGCAGAAGAAGAAGGUGAGAAGAUGUAACCUUUCAUGGUAUGCGAGAAGAUGCACGGGGUCGGGUGUUUUAUUUGCUUAGGCGGUGGGAAGGUUUAAUUUUGAUGGUCCAUCCCAUGGUGGAUAACACGCC
rnacentral:lncRNA from 1 species